GUGAAGCAAGACCGGUGAGGAGGUGAAAGAAAAGUGUAGUUGGGGAAAGAAGGUGAUGUAAUGGGUGGCCUAGGGUAAGUCGGUGUGGCCCAGGGGGAGAAGGUGAGGUAUGUGGAGAUGUGUGACCUUGAGAAAGUCUUGAAAGCAUUUAGUCCCUGGGUUUCAACUCCCACUCUUGAACUGUGCCAGAUGCAAAGUUCAGAGCUAGUGAUGGUUCACUCAGUUUGUUUGUGCCACAUCCCAUCUCUCUCUCUGUAUGCAUUUAUCUUCAUUUCUUUCUGCCCUCCUUUCUCCUCCUUUCUCUUUUUCUCUCCUCUCCUCCCUGCUGCCCCUUACACAGCAAACGGACUUGGAAUAAUAAUUUUUUAAAAAAUCAUGCAAACUGGAGAUUUUUCCUAAGCAGCACGAGGGGAAAGGGGUUAAGGAGGGGAUGCCACAGGUCAGAUCCUAAGGCACUUCUAAGCCAAACCACAGUUUAGUGCAGAGGUAGUCCAUAUGGUGCUCUCUGGAUGAUGUGGGGACUUAAAAUCCAAUUUCUCCUAACCAUUGGCAAUGUUGGCUGGGGAGCUGGAGUCCAAACAGCAUACAGCAUACUCUGCUGGCUAUCCCUGGUUUAAUAGGAUGAAAACAAGACCCCAGUGAACCUCAGACGUGCACAUUCCCUCUAUCCUUUAUCCAAAGGAAGAGUUCAGAUGUUGUCACUUCCAUUUCCCACAAUGUGGCUUCUCAUUUAUACCAAACCCUAAACUGUGGUUAAUAUUAACAGUGGCUUGCUUAAGCAUAGCAGCUCCAUAAACUUUGGUGGGAAGCCAUUUUGACUCAUGCAAACCAUAGCUAAUGCUAACCACAGUUGCUGGUGAUUAAACAAAAAUGGAAGAGGAUGCUUCUGAAUUCUUCAAGGCUGUGCCAGAGGAGGAGAAGGGAUGGCCGUGAGGAAAGCUCAUAAGCCUAAGGUUCACUAGAUCUUAUAUUCAUCAUGCUAAACCAUGGUUUAGAAUGACAUCCAAACUCUCCUGCUACAUGCAACCAUAUUCAAAGAGAGGACAAAAUUAUUUUUUGCCUAAGGCAAUGAAUUAGUCUGAGCCAGCCCUGUUCCUUUCUUCUAACAAAUUAAUACCAACAGACAGCCUUGAAGUGAAAGUGUAUUUUAUUUCCUCUACUUUAUUUGGAAGGAACUAUUUCCUCCCGUGAAGGAAGGAUUGUGAAGCAUGUAACUUGCCUUUCCCCCGAGAUUACACCCUUUAUGUUUUAGCAUCUGAAAGACAAAGCAGAUAGCUUCUAAACAGCAGCCCUAAACAGGGUUAGUGUUCUAAUUUACAGAGGACAAAACUUUAAGAGAGAAAAGAGUUUGUUGGUAAAAGCAAAUGUAAACACAGGUACCUGGGAAGGUAAUGCAGAGAUCACACCAAAAUGCAUUCGCUCAAAAGAUUAAUAUCUUUUCAUUAAAAAGAGAAGAGAGCAACGGUGGGCUCAAAAUUUGCAUUUAGAUCGAGUAGGUGGCAAGUGUAUUGACUGCUUACAAAUUCAUGUUACCAAAAACAGGGAAAGGAAGGAUGCAGAAAAAGAUGUCCCUGUCCUCUCACAGAUGUAGUGAUAGUAUGCUGAGGAAUUUGUGUGAAUUUUAUGAUGUUCAGUGUCGUUGCCACUUACAGCGCUGGUGUACAACUUCUGCAGGUAAUUUGAUGUGCUGUCAAAUUCAGAGCUAGAAAAUAGUCACCAGAAAGGGGUACCUACUUUCUGAAUCAUGCAGAUUUUCCACUGAGGAAAAUCUGGAGGGUUCACACAGUGAUCCCACCAGCACUGUGACGGGCACUUCAAGGCUAUUGCUAAUCUUGGCUGUAAGUACAAUCACAGACUGGCAAAUUCAGGUUACACAAUUAUAGUUGAUUGGGAGGUCUUCAACAACAAGCCUACUUCCUCAAAAGACUGGACUUCUUGUAAUCAGGAAAGUGAUGGAUAAAUGCCCUGCAAAGUGUGGGGUGACACUGCAGGCACCACGAAGGUCAAAGUGGCUGAUGGCAACACCCUUAACCUGGAUACCCACUAUGUAUUUGCAUUUUGCUGAAGUAGCUUCCCCCAUGCUCCCACUUCACAACACCAUCUGGUCAGGGUGCCUGGCAGUGGUCCUCAAAAGCAGAUGCUGGAGAGCCCUCCAGCAAACAACUAGAAGAGAUAUCAUUGACAUAAAAAUCUGUUCUCCCAGUUAGUGCUCGUCUAGAGGGGCAGGUAAGAUAAUGGAAUAUCUGAGCUCGAGGGUAUUUUGCAUCCACUUGAAUGCCAGUCUUCCCAAACCUGGUGCCCUUCAGAUCUUGCUGGGCUCCGAUUCCCAUCAUCCCCUGGCAGCAUGGCCAAUGGUGAAGUAGUCCAACAAACAUCUUGAAUGUUAGGGAAAGCCAUUCUAAAUGCAAGACUUGCAUAAUUUCCUAUUUACUUCAAUUGACCACUUAGAGAUCUUCAAAAUAUUAAUUGGUUUAUAAAUGCUUUUAACCAAAUGUCAUUUUUAUCUUAGCAAAUGAAACAAAGCAAACCCACUCACCCACCCAGGGUGGCGGGGACAUUUCAACCUUUCACUGUGGAUUUACUAUUUCUAACCUGCAGGCCUAUACAUCACAUACUUUUGCAAGAAAUGCCUUUGUGCUUAAAAUUAGUGAAUCACAAAAAGAGGGGGGAGUUUUGCCAAUGGAAGUUUGCAGGUAUGAUUUGCCCCCAUCUCUCCUCAAUCUUUAUUUCUGACACUUUCAAAGAUGUUGAGAUUUCCCAAGGCAUAGGAGAAAUGCACAUAAAGCUUCACAAAAUAUAUCCUUAUGUGCCUUGUUAAAAUGAAAAUGGAUGUUGUUCUGCAAUUACUGGAGUGUGCCACAAACUCUGAAGAGCGUGCACUUUUCAAAAUAAUAUUCCAGCAGAAAAUCCAUAAAUAAAACAGAACUUUGAUAGGCUGGAGAGAACGCAAUGCAGGUCAGGAGCAAACACCUGCAACGAGGUGUGAAUUGCAGAAGCAGUAAAAACCACCAACUGCAGAAAUCCUACAGUGAAGAACUGGUCUUCCGAAAGUAGUAUAGAGUCCAGCAGCGGCAACACUGCUCCCACCCUCAAGCAGGGAAUGAAUUUGCCACACCCUCCCUCUCAUUGGAAAGAAAACUUUCAAAGUCUUUCCUGUUGGAGAAGCUGGGGGAGGCAUGAGGAGGUUGAAUGGCCAAUCAGGAAGUGGUGGGCAGUCAGGCUUUAUAAGCCUGCUCCACCCCAAACUCAACUCUUCAUCACUGGAGUACCCCACAUCCUGCCCUCCCUCCCUUUGAAGUGUGGGCUUCACUUCACCUGUUGUGGGGCUGAAUAGGACUUUUGGGGGGAGCAUGGCUGACUGACCGAACCCAAAGGGUGCUCAUCAAUGGUUCCUCUUCAUCCUGGAGAAGAGUGACUAGUGGGGUGCCACAGGGUUCUGUCUUGGGCCCGGUCUUAUUCAACAUCUUUAUCAACGACUAUGAUGAUGGACUCAAGGGCAUCCUGAUCAAAUCUGCAGAUGACACCAAACUGGGAGGGGUGGCUAACACCCCAGAGGACAGGAUCACACUUCAAAAUGACCUUGACAGAUUAGAGAACUGGGCCAAAACAAACAAGAUGAAUUUUAACAGGGAGAAAUGUAAAGUCUUGCACUUGGGCAAAAAAAUGAGAGGCACAAAUACAAGAUGGGGGACACCUGGCUUGAGAGCAGUACAUGUGAAAAGGAUCUAGGAGUCUUGGUUGACCACAAACUUGACAUGAGCCAACAGUGUGACGCAGCAGCUAAAAAGCCAAUGCAAUUCUGGGCUGCAUCAAUAGGAGUAUAGCAUCUAGAUCAAGGGAAGUAAUAGUGCCACUGUAUUCUGCUCUGGUCAGACCUCACCUGGAGUACUGUGUCCAGUUCUGGGCACCACAGUUCAAGAAGGACACUGACAAACUGGAACGUGUCCAGAGGAGGGCAACCAAAAUGGUCAAAGGCCUGGAAACGAUGCCUUAUGAGGAACGGCUAAGGGAGCUGGGCAUGUUUAGCCUGGAGAAGAGGAGGUUAAGGGGUGAUAUGAUAGCCAUGUUCAAAUAUAUAAAAGGAUGUCACAUAGAGGAGGGAGAAAGGUUGUUUUCUGCUGCUCCAGAGAAGCGGACAUGGAGCAAUGGAUCCAAACUACAAGAAAGAAGAUUCCACCUAAACAUUAGGAAGAACUUCCUGACAGUAAGAGCUGUUCGACAGUGGAAUUUGCUGCCAAGGAGUGUGGUGGAGUCUCCUUCUUUGGAGGUCUUUAAGCAGAGGCUUGACAACCAUAUGUCAGGAGUGCUCUGAUGGUGUUUCCUGCUUGGCAGGGGGUUGGACUCGAUGGCCCUUGUGGUCUCUUCCAACUCUAUGAUUCUAUGAUUCUAUGAUUUGAUUGGCCUGAAUCCCAGGGACAGUGGGACCACAGUUGGAAGGAAAAAGAGUAAGCAGAGUUCAGAGGCUCCACAGCAUGUUCUGGCUGCCCCUCAUGUGACACCCCCCCCCCACUGCCUCUUGUCACACUGUAGUUUCCAGUGUGAUCUGUUGAUGGCUUGACAAACAGCAUAGCAAUGUGUAAGUGUGCAUAUCUAUACAGAUACAGAUAUAGAUUUAUAGAAUUGUAGAGUUGGAAGGGGUCCUGAGGAUCACCUAGUUGAACCCCCUGCAAUGCAGGAAUAUGCAGCUGCCCCAUACGGGGAUCAAACUGGCCACCUUGAGCAUUAUCAGCACCAUGCUCUAGUCAACUGAGCUAUCCAGGCUGAUAUAGAUAUAGAUACAGUGGUACCUCAGAUUACAUACGCUUCAGGUUACAGACUCCGCUAACUCAGAAGUAGUACCUCGGGUUAAGAACUUUGAUUCAGGAUGAGCACAGAAAUCGUGCUCCAGCGGCGUGGCAGCAGCAGGUGGCCCCAUUAGCUAAAGUGGUGCUUCAGGUUAAGAACAGUUUCAGGUUAAGAACAGACCUCCGGAACGAAUUAAGUACUUAACCUGAGGUACCACUGUAUACAGUAUGUAUACAAUGUUUCACAAAAAUGCAGCAACUAUGGUGACUUUGUUCCAGGAAAGACCCUUGGUGCACACAAUACUCUUUAGUUUUCAACACCUGGAGAGUUUGAAUGAGUUAAAUAAUAAAACUUCAUUUUGUUUCCUUCUUGUUUUCAGGGUGGGGGGGAGGGGAGAAAUAAUUCAAAUAGCAGCCCAUCCAAAAGGCCAUCUUCUAUCUGUUUGUCUACCCAUUUUAAAACAUUUAUGUUCAUCACACACACACACACACACACACACAGAGAGAGAGAGAGAGAGAGAGAGAGAGAGAGAGAGAGAGAGAGAGAGACUUAAACUGUAUGUGAAACACUGUUAUACUUUAAGGGUUUUUGUUUGUUUUUUUGUUAAGGGGUGGAGUUUCCUUCUCCCUCUUUUGUGUCUUCCUGGCUAUUUUAAAACUAUCACACACACAGAGAGAGAUUUAACACAAUUUAAAUACUGCAAUAUCAAGGUGGUGUACAACAAAAAGUGCAAAACAAUAAUUAAAAGAACUGGCCAGUCAGAAAAGCUUCAAUCAGCUGCAUAGGCAUGUUGGCAUUCAAAUAUGACUUGCUGAAAAAAGCUUGAUAGAAGGUGCUUCUCAAAUUGCUGCUGAGAAAUAAAUCUCAGUGCUGUCUUACAAGAGCUCCUCUUAAUAAGUGGAAAACUACUUCUUCUUCUUUUAAUAGUAACUUGGUUACAGCUUGUUCAAAACGGAAAUCAAAAAGCCCCAGAUACGAUGCAAUCUCCAUUUCAAUAUUCUACCUCCAGCACUUAUCUCCAGGUUCCUGUUCUGUACAACAUGCAAACAUGAAAGAACUUGAACUAUAUUUAUAUAUAUAUAAAGUAGAAUUUUGCAUCCUUGACAAUUUGGCUUAAAUUAAGUGGAACACUACCCGUAAGCAUCUUCAUCUAAGCAAUGGCCAAAAAUUAAUAAAAAGAACAUGAAAACAUGAAUAGCUUUGAUCACUGAAUGAAUGCAGUUACUUUAAAAACUGUUUAUAGCUGUGCUUAUGCUUGGAGAAUAAGAGCACUUGCACUCCCUCAGUUUACACUAUUUUUUAUCUUUCAGCUCAGCCAGUUUCUUUGAUGGAAGCCACAAAUAAGAAUAAUAAAAGCACCACACUUGAGCCAUCACAACCACAGAUAAAAAUCACUAAGGUAAGUUUCAUCAGGUUUGGCUUGUAUUAUAGUGGCUCUGGCAUUUAUGCUUGAUGCAAUAAUUAACAAAUAAAUAAAUCAGCACACAAAUCUCUCUAUUUGGAAUGGGAAGUGACAUAGGUCUAAAAUCAAAGCCCAAAUACCUAUUGCCCAGUGCAUGACAACUGGGCAAAUUAAUUUAAAGAAGAGGUGGGGAACGUCUGGCCUUUGGGCCUAAUCUGGCCCACUAGACCUCCACAUUUGGCCCGUGAGGUCAUUUAGGCCAGGCCACACACAGUUGACACCAGAAGAUGGAAGACAGUAACCCCACCAGCCUGGGGACCUGGAUCCCAGGGACAGGGGACCCAUGGUGGGCAGGUAGAUGAGUGAGAAGAGCUCAGGGACAGCAGUUCUCAGUGCCAUCUGUUGGCAGCCAGGCAAACUACAGCAUGACAAUUUGUGUGUGUGUGUGUGUGUGUGUGUGUGUGUGUGUGUGUGUGUGUGUUACAAACAUGCAACAAGUACACUGACUUCAUUCCAGGAAACAUAUCUUGGGUGCACAUAGCACCCUUGAGUCUCCACACCGUGCACCCCCCCGAAAGGAUUGGAAUGAGCUUAAUAAAAACCUUCCUUUUCUUUCCUUCUUUUUUUGGGGUGCGGGGUGGGGUGGUACAGUGGUACCUCGGGUUACAUACGCUUCAGGUUACAUACACUUCAGGUUACAGACUCCGCUAACCUAGAAAUAGUGCUUCAGGUUAAGAACUUUGCUUCAGGAUGAGAACAAAAAUUGUGCUCCCGCGGCGCGGCAGCAGCAGGAGGCCCCAUUAGCUAAAGUUCAGGUUAAGAACAGUUUCAAGUUAAGAACGGACCUCCGGAAUGAAUUAAGUACUUAACCCGAGGUACCACUGUAAUUCAAAACAGCAACAGCCCAUCCAAAAAGACACGUUUUAUCUAACUAUUUGUCUACUCAUGUUAAAACUCUUAAGAUAAACACACAGUAUGUGAAACAGUGUAUGUGAUACUUUAAGGGUGUUGUUGUCGUUGUUGUUAUUAGGGGGUUUCUCUCUCCCCCCAUUGUUUUCCUAGCUAUUUCAAAACUAUUUACCUACCUACCCACCUACCUACCUAUCUAUCUAUCUGAAGUAGUCCUACUGAGUUAAAAGGAGCUGCUUCUCAGGGAAGAGGAAUUGUAGCCCAAGUUACGAGCAAGAUAUUUUAUGUCCUCAAAGAAGUGAGUUAAUAAUUAACAAACAAAUUAAUAUCACAUGCAUUAUCAGUCUUUGUCUAAAUUUUAAUUCCCUUCUGGAAAAAUUGACUGAAUCCCACAUUCUCCCCACAUAGCUUCUAUGCUUCUGAAUAUUUCACAUAUUGAAUCCCAGUUUCUAAGCUGGAUCAUGUCAAUUUCUAAAUUUAUUUUGUUUUUUGCUCCAUAACUUUAAGUAGUAUCUCGAUUAGAAGUUUAUGAUAGGUAACAACCUCACCUCCCAAUCAUUCUGUAUUUCUUAUUUUCUUUAAGAUAUUAUUUUUAUUAUUUAUGUGUUUGUUUGUUUAUUUUUACCCACCCUUCACCCUAAGUUCACGCUGAUAAAGAAAUGGGGGGGGGGGGGGCUAUGAGCUAUUAAAAGGAAAUCACAAGUGGCUCAGUUCUUUCACUGCCACAGUCUCUCCAGUAGUAAUACCCGUUCAGUCUUCAAGACAUUCUUUCUAUGUAAAUAUAGCAUCAUUAUUUCAUGUAUCACUAGUGAUCUUUACAACACAGCUGAGAAGCUAGUAUUGUUCAUUCCCUUCUACUGAUUUUUCAGUUUUCAAAAAAUUGGUUUUAUCCUAAGAUUGUUUAUAUUUUAGGGAGGGGGAGAAUGUCCAACCUGACUUGAAAAAUCAUAGACAGUCUGUCGAAUGUGGCAGCCAGUUAUUAUGACUCUACAAAUCUUAAAUUUGUAUUCAAACUUAUACGAAAUGAAUAACAUCAGAUACCCGGGGAGGGGGAGUGCGCUGCCAGCUACUUACAAUUUUAUGUAUGUAAGUCAUUUUCAUAACAGAACAUAGUAGUUCCAGCUGAACAGGCAUGGCCCCUCUUCUUAAAUCCUUUCACAAGUUUUGAGUUAUACAGAUGCCACCCUUGGAAAUCUUCCAAGUCAUUUGCCUUGCCCUUAUUUUGAUGGCACACUACAUAGCAAAUGAGUCAUCACAGUUAGGCUGCAAUUCCCUAUGCACAGUUACCACCAGGGCUGCAUGGAAUUGGUUAGCACCAUUUUUGAUCUGUACAUUUGUCAACAAAAUACAGAUCAUGUUGUUUUAUUUAGCAGCUCACAAACAUGUAAUUACUCAAGCAUUCACAUCGCAGAAUUAGUGUCCCUAAACUAAGCUACAAAAUGGAUCACCGAUAAACUGUUUUCAGUCGUGAUGUUAGCAGGUUUCGCAUUUCCUGGCACAGAGAUACAAUUCUUGGUGGCUUUAAUGUCCCUGAACAUUCUUCUACAGGUCAGAUUUUAGUCUGAAGGAAUUUGCAGGAUGGUGGGUGGGCUUUCUCCUGAAAUUCAGCAGGGGGGAAGAGAAAUGACCCCAAUUCCAUGUCUGACUGAGGAAGUUUACCCCAUCGCAAUUCUCAGUGGCAAUCCCAUAACAAGAGUGAGAGUCAAGAUGCUCCAAAUUAAACUUGACUUCAUUACUAGAGUUUCCAAAACAACAAAGAAAUUUUCAACUCUCACCUAAUCCUUCCUCAGACCAAGGAGAAUUGUGAAACAUGACUACCCAGUAAGCCACUGCUUCCUCCUUCUUACCGCAGUAUCUUUUCCCUGUCUCACCACCUGUGUCUAGUCCACUGCACCCUUCACCAAUUUCUCCUCCUUCCCCCCACUGGCCUCCUUUGGUGUCUUCUUUUUCUCCCUUUCCUUCGGUGGCAUCAGUGUCAUUGGUGAGGGGAGCAGCAGAGUGGUCAUCAUCAGCCAGGGGAGGGGGCAUCAGUGGCAGAGCUAUCACUUUCCACCUUGUCUCAGCAUCAUACUGGGCCAGCCCUGUUACAUACAUCACAUCUGGGUCCUUUACAAUGGCUCAGAUUCUCCAAAGGCUGUUCCUUUGUUUUGUUUUUGCACAGAGAUCUCAAUGCUUAAAAGAUUCAUGCCCUCCCCUCCCCUUUAUGCAAAGGAGGAACCCUCAAAAGAACUGGAGGAAUUUACAAAGCUUAUCCUGUAUGUAAGACCUUUAUCUGUUUUAUGAAAUUCUGUAUCAGCA